AUAUGCACAUACCACAUAAGUAUACGUCAAUGUCUGUAAUAAUGGUAGAUCAAAUGUUUCAUCUGUGUGAAACUUUUUGCUAAUCGAAAUGUUAAACCAACCACCAAUCCAUGUACAUAGAUGCGCUACGUAAACAAAGUUGUUGAUUGAUGCAUCGCAAUGUCCGAGUGCUGCAUGCUGAGAGAUUAAAUACUGUUUAUACAGUCAUUGAGAGGCUAAACAAAGUUUCUUGCAAGAAGAGGAAGUUGGUGGAUGCAUUCAUCUUGGACAAGGAAAUCAUAGUUUCGUUUGGCAUCAGCCUGAAGACGGAGGGAGGUUAGAUAGGACCAAUGCAGGUUGAAGUGGAUUUCGAGUCAACAAGUAUAACAGCAAGAGAGUUACUAUAAUUUUUUUUUGAUAAACAUUUGUAAAGACAAUUCUGAGUAUAUCAGAUAUUCAUCUUUUUUGCUAUAUUUAAAUAUAUUUAUCUAUAUUUUGAACAGGUACUCCAUUUACAGUGAUGAUGACAUAUCCCCUGGACCCCCACAACUCCACAAAUUUAAAAAUGUUUGAUCAAGUUCCGAAGAUUAAAGAACUAAUGCAAAAUUUGGGACUGGAUGAAAAACAUUAAUUCACUUAUAUGAGCUCAGAGCAGUGGAUGUUAUACAACAUACUUUAAACUAAAUUGUGAAUUUAAGGGGAAACAAGUGCAUGUACUCGUAUAUUACAAGUACAUGCCUUUUGAAAGACAAUAAUAUUGCAUAGAUGUAAAGGAAAUUUCAAUGUUGAUUACUCUUUCUUAGAUAUAUUAGUAAAAAAUGUGCACAUGAUAGAAUAUCAAUUUUAUAACUUCAAUCAAAGUGUUUGAAUUUUCCUUAUAAUUCAAAAUUUAGUUGAAACAUACAUCAUAGAUACAUUAAUGUAUAUCAAAUUUUUAGAAAAGUUUCAUAAUGGAACUAUUUCACUCCCCCCCCCCCCUUAUACAUACAGUGAACAUAGACCUUCACCUGGGGAAAACUUCAGUUAGUUAAUGCAAUAUACAUGUACAUGCACUCUCAGUUAUCCAAUAGUGAGUUUUUGGUUCCAUGUGAAACUACAAUUAGAAAUCUUAAACUUAUGAAAGACACACCUAUCUGUGAGGGUAAGAUGACUCAGAUGGACUUAAAUGUAGUGAUCCAUGGGCAGUCCAUGGAUCUCUUUCCAUUGAUAUUAAUUAUUUAUUGAAAAUUAAAUGGUUAUUUAAACAUAUUUGGUGUAUUAUACUGUAUAUUGAUAUAAAUUUCUAUCAAAAAAUAUGUAUAGGUAAUAGAUUUGGUCCAGUUAUUACAAGAAAUUGUAUGAAAAAUAACUAAAUAUUUAGGCAAUCAUUGUGAGUGCGAAAAGGUCAACUGCAAUAGCACACACUAUAUAUCAUUCUUAAAUGGCUCAUAGAAACUUCUAGUAUUGUGAGUUUCAAUGCUCAAUAUGGUAAUUUGGGAAUGCUUAAUCAUUUAAGGUCAAUAGUUUAUAUCUGCUGACUGUAUCUCUUAAAAUUCAUUUCUAGAAGGGAGGGAGUAGGGUUACAAAAUCUGACAUAGUUUCAGAUUAAACCUACUUUGGUAUAUUUUUUUCUAUUCAAUAUUUUAGAUACUACUUGACUUAUUGUAAAAAUGAAAUAAAAUCAGAAAUUUU